AGUGAACGCUGGCGGCAGGCCUAAUACAUGCAAGUCGAACGGCAGCACAGCAGAGCUUGCUCUGUGGGUGGCGAGUGGCGGACGGGUGAGGAAUACAUGGGGAAUCUGCCCAGUCGUGGGGGAUAACGUAUGGAAACGUACGCUAAUACCGCAGUGCGCCCUAAGGGGGAAAGCCGGGGACCGCAAGGCCUGGCGCGAUUGGAUGAGCCCAUGUUCGAUUAGCUAGUUGCGGGGUAAAGGCCCACCAAGGCGACGAUCGAUAGCUGGUCUGAGAGGAUGAUCAGCCACACUGGAACUGAGACACGGGUCCAGACUCCUACGGGGAGGCCAGCAGUAGGGAAUAUUGGACAAUGGGGGCAACCCUGAUCCAGCCAUGCCGCGUGAGUGAAGAAGGCCCUCGGGUUGUAAAGCUCUUUUGUCCGGAAGAAAGCAAUCGGUUAAUACCCGGUUGUCCUGACGGUACCGGAAGAAUAAGCACCGGCUA
rnacentral:rRNA from 1 species